rfam:Alteromonas sp. JW12 Alteromonas_lipolytica_JW12_S12, whole genome shotgun sequence.
GGGUCGUUAGCUCAGUUGGUAGAGCAGUUGACUUUUAAUCAAUUGGUCGCUGGUUCGAAUCCAGCACGACCCA